GAUUGAAAAAGUUUGGUUUCGGCCCAAAACAAGGCAUUAUUAAUGCCCAAUCU
rnacentral:tRNA from 1 species